UGGGGAAUAUUGGACAAUGGGGGGAACCCUGAUCCAGCCAUGCCGCGUGUGUGAAGAAGGCCUAAUGGUUGUAAAGCACUUUAAGCGAGGAGGAGGCUCUCUUGGUUAAUACCGAAGAUGAGUGGACGUUACUCGCAGAAUAAGCACCGGCUAACUCUGUGCCAGCAGCCGCGGUAAUACAGAGGGUGCGAGCGUUAAUCGGAUUUACUGGGCGUAGAGCGUGCGUAGGCGGCUUUUUAAGUCGGAUGUGAAAUCCCCGAGCUUAACUUGGGAAUUGCAUUCGCUAAUGGGAAGCUAGAGUAUGGGAGAGGAUGGUAGAAUUCCAGGUGUAGCGGUGAAGUGCGUAGAGCUCUGGAGGAAUACCGAUGGCGAAGGCAGCCAUCUGGCCUAAUACUGACGCUGAGGUACGAAAGCAUGGGGAGCAAACAGG
rnacentral:rRNA from 1 species